UACGUAGGGUGCAAGCGUUAAUCGGAAUUACUGGGCGUAAAGCGUGCGCAGGCGGUUCUAUAAGACAGAUGUGAAAUCCCCGGGCUCAACCUGGGAACUGCAUUUGUGACUGUAGAGCUGGAGUACGGCAGAGGGGGAUGGAAUUCCGCGUGUAGCAGUGAAAUGCGCAGAUAUGCGGAGGAACACCGAUGGCGAAGGCAAUCCCCUGGGCCUGUACUGACGCUCAUGCACGAAAGCGUGGGGAGCAAACAGG
rnacentral:rRNA from 1 species